GACGAACGCUGGCGGCGUGCUUAACACAUGCAAGUCGAACGGAAAGGCCCUGCUUGCCGGGUACUCGAGUGGCGAACGGGUGAGUAACACGUGGGUGAUCUGCCCUGCACUUCGGGAUAAGCCUGGGAAACUGGGUCUAAUACCGGAUAGGAGCCAUUUUUAGUGUGAUGGUUGGAAAGUUUUUUCGGUGUAGGAUGAGCUCGCGGCCUAUCAGCUUGUUGGUGGGGUAAUGGCCUACCAAGGCGGCGACGGGUAGCCGGCCUGAGAGGGUGGACGGCCACAUUGGGACUGAGAUACGGCCCAGACUCCUACGGGAGGCAGCAGUGGGGAAGAUUGCACAAUGGGCGCAAGCCUGAUGCAGCGACGCCGCGUGGGGGAGGACGGCCUUCGGGUUGUAAACUCCUUUCGCUAGGGACGAAGCUUUUUGUGACGGUACCUAGAGAAGAAGCACCGGCUAACUACGUG
rnacentral:rRNA from 1 species